rnacentral:rRNA from 1 species
AGGAUUAGAUACCCUGGUAGUCCACGCCGUAAACGAUGUCGACUUGGAGGUUGUGCCCUUGAGGCGUGGCUUCCGGAGCUAACGCGUUAAGUCGACCGCCUGGGGAGUACGGCCGCAAGGUUAAAACUCAAAUGAAUUGACGGGGGCCCGCACAAGCGGUGGAGCAUGUGGUUUAAUUCGAUGCAACGCGAAGAACCUUACCUGGUCUUGACAUCCACGGAAGUUUUCAGAGAUGAGAAUGUGCCUUCGGGAACCGUGAGACAGGUGCUGCAUGGCUGUCGUCAGCUCGUGUUGUGAAAUGUUGGGUUAAGUCCCGCAACGAGCGCAACCCUUAUCCUUUGUUGCCAGCGGUCCGGCCGGGAACUCAAAGGAGACUGCCAGUGAUAAACUGGAGGAAGGUGGGGAUGACGUCAAGUCAUCAUGGCCCUUACGACCAGGGCUACACACGUGCUACAAUGGCGCAUACAAAGAGAAGCGACCUCGCGAGAGCAAGCGGACCUCAUAAAGUGCGUCGUAGUCCGGAUUGGAGUCUGCAACUCGACUCCAUGAAGUCGGAAUCGCUAGUAAUCGUGGAUCAGAAUGCCACGGUGAAUACGUUCCCGGGCCUUG